GACGAACGCUGGCGGCGUGCUUAACACAUGCAAGUCGAACGGAAAGGCCCUGCUUUUGUGGGGUGCUCGAGUGGCGAACGGGUGAGUAACACGUGAGUAACCUGCCCUUGACUUUGGGAUAACUUCAGGAAACUGGGGCUAAUACCGGAUAGGAGCUCCUGCUGCAUGGUGGGGGUUGGAACGUUUCGGCGGUUGGGGAUGGACUCGCGGCUUAUCAGCUUGUUGGUGGGGUAGUGGCUUACCAAGGCUUUGACGGGUAGCCGGCCUGAGAGGGUGACCGGCCUCAUUGGGACUGCGAUACGGCCCAGACUCCUACGGGAGGCAGCAGUGGGGAAUAUUGCACAAUGGGCGGAAGCCUGAUGCAGCAACGCCGCGUGCGGGAUGACGGCCUUCGGGUUGUAAACCGCUUUCGCCUGUGACGAAGCGUGAGUGACGGUAAUGGGUAAAGAAGCACCGGCUAACUACGUG
rnacentral:rRNA from 1 species